GUGUUUGUGAAAUUAUCUAAACGAGGUAAUGUCACACUAUUAUGAUGGGAGUCCCGUCAAAUGACCUCAUUAUCUAUUGGGCCAUAUGAAAAGGUUUUCUUAUUUCAUACGAUACAGUAUCGAUCGUUUCCUUAUAUACAAGAGAAGACAUUAGUCUUACGACUUAACCUAAUUCCAACAUAUGGACUAAGUUAAUCGAGGCCCAUAUGGCCCAAUAUUAUCUUCAGUGGGCCCACCCUGCUUUUAGAAGAAAGAAACGAAAAUGCUCGUCGUUUCACCCUCUAUCAAUCACGCCGGAAAGCAGUUCGCCGGUGAGUAGAGUACCGGAGUUAAAAAGUUACUAUCUUUGUAGAUAAACACUAAUUUGUUUUCAAAAUUCGAAAAUGUUUUGAAGUUCCGAAAUAAAAACAAAAAAAUUCCAGUCGUAAGAAAAGUUGUGACUGGUUAGUAGUACUCUUGGGCAAUGCCAGAUUGCCAGCUAAGGGAGGGAGCAACGGCUCGAACAUAUACCACAAUCUCUCUAAAAAGCACAUUUGCAGUCAUCUUUCACUCAUUUGCAUUCGUCCAAAACACCGCAAAAAAAAAAUAUUCACUCAUCGGCAACAAAGAGAGAAAAGAUGCCUCCUCGGUCUGUCCCACAAGCCAAGAUGCAAAGUAGUCUUCUCCGUUUGUUUUCAGGAUCCAGAACGUCUACCUUGCACUACAUGUUCUCUUAAUCAACGCCAUUGUCAUUUCGUUGGUGUUCACGGCAAUAGCUGCCGGUAGGGAUGACAACGAAACAAUUUCCGAGUCCAACUCCAACAACUCAACAACCGCUGCUCCUCCUCCUCACAGAAACAUGCCCGACCGGAUAUCGGUUUGUUCCUCUUCGGGAUACUUUUCGUAGUAUAUCUCAUGGUGAAAUCCUACCAACUUUCUCUUGAUGACAUCUGGUUUCCUUUCAAGAAGUUCUUAGAUGAAAUUUCAUUGUGGCUUGGAGUUGUGUCCCUUGUUGUUCUCCUGCUCCUUACCACUACAGUGUUUACAAUCUACAUUGCAGUCCCUUCAGUCAUAUUGGCGAUAGUGGGAAGGUUCAUUUUUGGGAGACCCUGCUUUCUAGAAUUCGGCUACAUCACCUUCCUACAGAUAUCAAAAUGGAUUUGUUAUCUCUGGCUUCUAAUCGUUUUGGGAUGUGCAAAGCUUAGAAGGAAUUUGUUUACAGGGACUUCAGAGGAAUCCAGAAUGUUACUAACAGAUAGGGUUACUAAAUCGGGGAAUGCAAAGGAUUCUUCCCUCGUGAAGUGGAACAAGAGGAUUGCCGCUGCGAGAGCUCGCGCAACCGCUGAAUCUGACAGAGUGGCCAAAGAGAAAGCCGAUAUUGAAGCCGAUGAGGACGCUGCCGAGACAGCCGAAGUCGAGCUCGGCUUGAUGGUGGCUCCGGUCAAUGCCCAAUAAGGCCCACUUUAGUUUUCCCUCGUUCUCUUUUUUAUGUCGCUUG